rnacentral:lncRNA from 1 species
GAGAGGUGAAAUAAAUGAAAUAUUACUGGAUGAAAUAAUUAUACUGAUCCUAGCCUUAUUUUAAAAGGGCCCCCAGAAUGCUCUUCUCCAAGACUUAGAAAAAUCAAAUGCUAUCCAUCCCUCAAGAUACAUCCCUCCAGCCCCUCCUUGAAGUCUCCUGCAGCUAGAAGUAGAAGUAGCAUCUAUCCCCAUCUGGACUCCUUAGCACUUUGCUGUACCUGCCUUAGUCCCCAUCUCUUUACACACACACACACACACACACACACACACACAGAGUAUUAUAAUACUAUUACCUAUUAUAUUACAUUAUAUUGUGAGAUGCUACCUACCUAUGCAGAGCUGGAAAAGAUUUUGCAACCUGAAAACCCAAUCCUUUCUGAGAUAUAAAAGAACAGAAGAGUCUGGAAGUGAUUUCUUCGGAGAAAUUCAUUUUCUGUGAGUCUCACUCCUAAUCCCCUAUGAGAUAUCUGGGGGUGAAGGGCAGGUGCUGUUCCACACAGAGAGCUUGAUCCGUGCAUCUUGGAAGAGGGAGGUAGGUAGGGAACAGGGUGGGCUGCUUUGGGACCCAUGCCUUAAAACUCAGGUACUGGGGCUGGCUGGUUCUAAUGGCCAAGAGGUGAGAGGUGCACCUGUGGGGAACAACCUUCACUCUCAGUUUGUCAGGAUAGAGGAUAUGAGUCUUGCCCUGAGGAUGGGAUGUAGACUACAAGGGCAAGAGAGUCAGCUUAAAGAAAUCUGUAGAACUAUCUGCCAGGACUGAGGUGACCAUAGCAGAGAGAUGUUGGAGGUAUUCUGUUGGGAACAAGAUGGUGUGAGGUAAAGAUUGUAUUUGAUACCUGCUGGAGAAGAGAUCUUGCAUUAAGGCCAGCAUUAAGAGAACUUCAGAUGAGAAAUCCCUGGUGAAGCAGAGUCUCCAAAGAAUGCAUAAGAGCUCUGCAGUGAGAAAGAGAUCACCUGAAUACCUUCCAAAAUCAAAGCGUGGCAGUGACCAGCUAAGCAGAUCUUUCCUGUCUUCUACCUGGAAGGGCCU